rnacentral:rRNA from 1 species
AUUGAACGCUGGCGGCAGGCCUAACACAUGCAAGUCGAACGAGUGGCGGACGGGUGAGUAAUGUCUGGGAAACUGCCCGAUGGAGGGGGCUAACUACUGGAAACGGUAGCUAAUACCGCCUACCAUCGGAUGUGCCCAGAUGGGAUUAGGUAGUGGGUGGGGUAACAGCUCACCUAGGAGACGAUCCCUAGCUGGUCUGAGAGGAUGACCAGCAACACUGGAACUGAGACACGGUCCAGACUCCUACGGGAGGCAGCAGUGGGGAAUAUUGCAAAAUGGGCGCAAGCUGGAUACAGCCAUGCGGCGUGUAUGAAGAAGGCCUUCGGUUGGUAAAGUACUUUCAGCGAGGAGGCGUUACUCGCAGAGGAAGCACCGGCUAACUCCGUGCCAGCAGCCGCGGUAAUAC